UGCAAAUCCCAGGAUUUGAUAGCAUACUAGAAGCUGAAGUCCAACGGCAUGUGUAAGGUCAUACCAUUCUCAUUCCCUUUCUAUGCUCUGAAUCAUAGAUUUACUCAGUUCAAAUUUGUUGUGUAUAUAUGCAUCAUUUUAUGUACCAGUGUGCAAAUGAGAGAAAAGAGAUUUUUUCCCUCAAAAAAUACCUUCAUAGAGAAAAUGUUUAUUAGCCCACAAGGUGAAACUUAUUGGAGAGACAGAGGAAUGAAUGCUUCCGUUUCAAUGUGUAUUCAGACACAGCAGGCUGAAGCCUUCUCUCCUUUCAAAGCUUUCCAUUUUACCGAGAGAGUGAGGGUUUGCUUUCUAAAGCAGACUUUCUGAAGCUUAAAGAACAUGUUCUGAAGGAGAGCCAGCUAACACACUCCUGCAUUUUUUGUUGCUUCACAGUCAGGCCGGGGUCAACUAAGAAUCCCAUAAAAGAACAGUGGGGCCUUUUAUUUCCUGCCAUAAAGGAAAGAAUGAAAUGAAAGCCCCCCUCGGUGCAGUCACACCUGGUUGUAUCUUUAAUUAUCAACUUUCUACACCUCUGGUGAGCAAGAGAAGAAAACUUCUAACAAAACUUUCCGUAUCACAUCAGGCUACCUGUAUCAAACAAAUGAUCACUUCCCUCUAUUGGACUGGAAUCACAAAGUAUGACAUGCAGGUAUCUGGAAACAUAUCAUGCCCAUAUUUUAUCAUUUUGCCCUGAUGUGCCUCGUUGCUCACUCCCUCCAGAAGAUCCGCUGUACAAGCUUCAAUGAAACUGGAAAUAUUCAAAGCCUCAAGGGAGACACACAUGUUUUAAAGGCCCAAUCUGAUCUUUGGUGAUGGUUCCAACUAUCUGUGAUAGAAGAGUGGGACUAAAUAUCGUAUCUGCUCCACCACUUAAUCCGGGGCCAGUCUGGGGCAUCUGUGAUGGUGGUCACACCAGGCUGAACAUUUUGCAAUGCUGUGUCCAUGUGCAGAUGGUCCGGCCAGGAUGAGACUGCAUUGGCCCCAGUGGCCCAUCCUUUGUCCUCUGUGUCAUCACUGCCAUUGUUUACAUAUCCUCACCAUUUACAUAUCUCCUUGGAAGCACCUCACCAUUACAGUUUCAUCUGCUGAGAUCAUAAUACAUCAAUUAUAAAAUCAGUAAGUGGGAGACAGAGCACACCUCACCUUGUUUAUCAUAUAAGUGCCCCAUGAUAACCACAGUAGAUGUGACCAUUGAUCUCAUCAGAUGAGGACAACAUCAGUAGCAUGCAGGGUCUCUUUUGAUGGAGUCUGCUGGCUCCCACCCACGAUGCAUUACAACUUCUGGUGGGGCUCCAUCGUGAAAGGGUUGGCAGAAGCUGGAGUUAACAAGGGGAGCUCACCUUGUCCAUGGAACUGAAACGUCAACCUUCUGGUCAACAAGUUCUGCAGCUUAGGAGUUUAACCUGCUGUGCCACUGCAGCCCCUUUUGCAUACAUAGUAAUAACUGGAACUUCCUGUAA